GUGCCAGCCGCCGCGGUAAUACGUAGGGGGCAAGCGUUGUCCGGAUUUAUUGGGCGUAAAGAGCGUGUAGGCGGCCAGGCAGGUCCGUUGUGAAAACUGGAGGCUCAACCUCCAGCUGUCGACGGAUACCGCUUGGCUAGAGUCCGGAAGAGGAGAGUGGAAUUCCUGGUGUAGCGGUGAAAUGCGCAGAUAUCAGGAAGAACACCGAUGGCGAAGGCAGCUCUCUGGGACGGUACUGACGCUGAGACGCGAAAGCGUGGGGAGCGAACAGGAUUAGAUACCCGUGUAGUCC
rnacentral:rRNA from 1 species